CCAGCAGCUGCGGUAAUUCCAGCUCUAAUAGCAUAUAUUAAAGUUGUUGCAGUUAAAGAGCUCGUAGUUGGAUUUCUGAUCAAGGUAAUGUUCGAGGCUUCGGUCUCUGUUCAACACUUUGGUCAUCCAUGGGGAAUUUCAGUAUGACAUUCACUUGUUGUAUUGAGGUCUCCCCAUCCUUUACUGUGAGUAAAUUAGAGUGUUCAAAGCAGGCUUAUGCCGUUGAAUAUUAUUAGCAUGGAAUAAUAAGAUAUGACUUUGGUGGUCUAUUUUGUUGGUUUGUACACCAAGGUAAUGAUUAAUAGGGAUAGUUGGGGGUAUUCGUAUUCAAUUGUCAGAGGUGAAAUUCUUGGAUUUAUGGAAGACGAACUACUGCGAAAGCAUUUACCAAGGAUGUUUUCA
rnacentral:rRNA from 1 species